rnacentral:rRNA from 1 species
GACGAACGCUGGCGGCGUGCCUAAUACAUGCAAGUCGAACGCAGUGGGGACGGGUGAGUAACAAGUGGGUAACGUCCCAUCAGAGGGGAUAACACUAGGAAACAGGUGCUAAACCGAUACUGCUGGUUGGACGCGCGGAGGCUUAGCGAGUUUGGGAGGUAAAGGCUCACCAAGGCCACGUUGCAUAUCUGACCGGAGAGGGUGAUCGGUCACACUGGGACUGAGAAACGGCCCAUACUCCUACGGGAGGCAGCAGUGGGGAAUCUUCGGCAAUGGACGAAAGUCUGAUCGAGCCACGCCGCGUGUGUGAAGAAGGUUUUCGGAUCGUAAAACUCUUUUGUUAGGGAAGCGGUAUCUAACCAGAAAGCCACGGCUAACUACGUGCCAGCAGCCGCGGUAAUUC